CAAACUGUUGUAAGGGUAAAAGAAAUUGAAGUUAAAGCGUAAAAGUUAAAGGGUAAAAGAUCGGGUGUUGUAAAAGUUUCUAAGCUGCAAGGUCUGAGUUAGCUGUUAAGACAAUGCUUAGAACCCCCCAGUAAACAUUUCCCCUGAUUGUCUGGUUGUUUAAUAACUGAAGGGGUCUGUGUGGUUGCACGCAGGCAUUGCAGGGCCUGGACCAAUCAGUUUAAAUGUAACCCCCUCCUUAGGAAUGACCUAUCACUCCAGCCUGACCUGUUCCCGCCAAUGAAUGAACCAAUCAUGUUUAGGAGUUGUUGUUCAAUUUUCCCGCGCCUAAUGAUGAUUUGUUCUGAUGUAUACAAAGCCCUCCGCCCUCCCCAAAAAGUGUACUUAAGCAAUCUUCAGCCCCUGCUCGGGGCUCUGGGCUGCUUUCCCUUCUUGAGUGGGCAAGGAGCCCCAGCAUGCUGGUUCAAUAAAUCCCCCCUUCUGCCAAUUGCAUGAGUGGUCACUUGGUGGUCUCUUUCUCUGACGUUUCACGGGACCCUUACAUUGUGAGGUGAAGAAACCUUUUCUCCUGAUAAGUUAUCUGCCUCACGUACCUCAUUGUAAUAACACCAAAAUAAUAAUAAUUAAAAAAAUGUUUAAAAAAAAUCAACCCACCACUAAUCAAAGAAAUACACAUCAAGAUAUUUUUCAACCUAUCAAAUUGGCAAAUCUUUUUUCUUAGGAUAAUAUAUAAUUGGAAAGAAUUAGACAGUUGAGUCAAAAAAUGAUAAAAAGAAUUUAUCUCUCAUUAAGAGUAAGAGCAUAGACUGGAGAUAUAGCUCAGUAGGUAGAAUGCUUGCCUCACAUGUACAAGGCCCUGGGUUCAAUUCCCAGCAACACACACACACACACACACACACACACACAAAAGUAAGAGCAUAAACUGGUUGAAUCUUUCUGGAAAACAAUCUGUCAAUAUAUAAAAAGGAGCUGGGUGUGGUGGUACAUUCAUAUAAUCCCAGCUACUAGAGAAGUUGAGACAGGAGGACCUCAAGUUCAAGGCCAGCCUGGUGAGACCUUGUCUCAAAAAAAAAAAAAAAAAAAAAAUGAGGUGGUGCUGGGGAUAUGACUCAGUAGAAGAGCAUCCCUGGAUUGCUUCCCCAAUACAAAAAAAAAAAAAAACCCUGCCCCCUGGGCCAGUUACAUACCACCAAUCACAAAGGCUAAAACUAGUCCAUUCUUCAUUUCUAUGAAUCAUUCACAAGAGAACAAAGGCAUCAAACUAGACACAAAAAGAUUUUUAAAAAAAAAAAAAAAAAAAGGAUAGGAUGACCAACUUGUCCCUGUAUGCCUGGGCCUUUUUGUUUAGCACAGAAAGACCCACAUCUCUGUAAAUCCUCUGUCCCAGGGAAACCAGGGCAGUUUUCUCUGUUUCCUCUAGGGAGGAAAAAAGAUCCUCUGGAAAUAACAUAAAGCACCCUCUCUGAUGCUCAGAAGGGCUUGUGCAUCAAUUAGACAAAGGCCUGGAUAUUAGGGGAAUUUUAAAGAAGUCAUUUUAUUUAGCAGCUAGAUGAAGAUUCAAUGCAAAUAUUUAAAUACUGUUAAAAGCAAAUAAAGCAUUUCCAUCAAACAGUCAUGACUUCACAGUCUUCACGAAUCAAA
rnacentral:lncRNA from 1 species